CCUACGGGUGGCAGCAGUGAGGAAUAUUGGUCAAUGGCCGGAAGGCUGAACCAGCCAUGCAGCGUGAAGGUCAGUGCCCUAUGGGCGUUAAACUUCUUUUGUGCGGGAGCAAUAAUGGUCACGUGUGGCCAGACGAGAGUACCGUACGAAUAAGCAUCGGCUAAUUCCGUGCCAGCAGCCGCGGUAAUACGGGGGAUGCAAGCGUUAUCCGGAUUUAUUGGGUUUAAAGGGUGCGUAGGCUGGGAGGUAAGUCAGAGGUUAAAUGCCCCCGAUCAACGGGGUGAAGUGCCAUUGAUACUGACAGUCUGGAAUGCGGAUGCGGUGGGAGGAAUGUGUGGUGUAGCGGUGAAAUGCAUAGAUAUCACACAGAACCCCGAUUGCGAAGGCAGCUCACGAAUCCGCGAUUGACGCUGAUGCACGAAAGCGUGGGUAUCAAACAGGAUUAGAUACCCGGGUAGUC
rnacentral:rRNA from 1 species